UUCCUUUCGGCCACCGUCCUGAGCAAAACCCGGAAACUUCGGGGCCACGUGACCAGUGGCCAUGGCCGCUUCAGUAAGCAUCACAAGCACCCUGGAGCCACGAGAAUUCCGGAGCCAAGCAUCACUACAAGAUCUACCCCAACAAAUAUCAACCCAGGGUAUUUUGGGAAAGUUGGUAUGAGGCAUUACCACUUGAGGAGAACCAGAGCUUCUGCCCAACUGUCAACCAGAUAAAUUAUGGACAUUGGUCAGCGAGCAGACACGUAUCAAAGCUGCAAAAGACAAGACUGGAGCUGCUCCCGUCAUUGAUGUUGUGACAUCGGGCUACUACAAAGCUUUGUGCAAGGAAAAACUCCCUAAACAACCUGUCAUCAUGAAGGCCAAAUUCUUCAGC
rnacentral:lncRNA from 1 species